rnacentral:rRNA from 1 species
AUACGUAGGUGGCAAGCGUUGUCCGGAAUUAUUGGGCGUAAAGCGCAUGUAGGCGGUAAUUUAAGUCUGUCGUGAAACUGCGGGGCUCAGCCCCGUAUGGCGAUGGAAACUGGGUUACUUGAGUGCAGGAGAGGAAAGGGGAACUCCCAGUGUAGCGGUGAAAUGCGUAGAUAUUGGGAAGAACACCGGUGGCGAAGGCGCCUUUCUGGACUGUGUCUGACGCUGAGAUGCGAAAGCCAGGGUAGCGAACGAGAUUAGAUACCCCGGUAGUCCUGGCCGUAAACGAUGGGUACUAGGUGUGGGAGGUAUCGACCCCUUCCGUGCCGGAGUUAACGCAAUAAGUACCCCGCCUGGGGAGUACGGCCGCAAGGCUUAAACUCAAAGGAAUUGACGGGG